CCCAGGUCAUAUGGUAAUCUUGUUUUCACUGUGUUUGGGGAUGUAACAUGACAGACAUCACCACGUAUUCCUCCAAGGGCAUUUUUCACGCAAGCACACCUGGUCACCCAUUCAUACCAACAGGAAACCAAGAAGAGAUGGAAUUGAUUAAUUAAAACAAAGUUAUUCAGGUCUCAAAUAGAAAUUUGGGCUGCUGAAGACUGAGA
rnacentral:lncRNA from 1 species